AGAGAGAUCAGAUGGAAUUACACAACAGCCAUGCCACCUGGGUUGAAACUAGAGUGGUUUAUUCCUUUAAAAAAAAGUUUUCUGUUGUGGAGGAAUCUUUGAUAAUUUCCAGGAAGCUUGAGGUUCACUUCAAAGUCAUUAAGCUGCUGGGGAGGAAAGGCAAGGCAAACUGUCUGCACUAGGCAUGCUCCGCAGUGACUGCUUCAUGCAAGGCUGGGCUCUCUCACAAUACUCCCAAACGCAGAGAACAGAGGGAAGCAUGGGGGAGCCACCUGAGCCUGUGGACUUGAGGAAUGCUGGGGGAAGCUUACUCACUAGGUCCAGCUACAAAGGAAAGGUGAUGGAUUCUGCUGGAGAGAGCUUUCUCGUGGCACAGCAGUGAGUGAAACCAGCACAACAUGUUCAGUGUGGAGGACCUCCUGAUUUCUCAUGGAUACAAAUUGUCCAAAGAUCCCUCUGCUUCAUACGAGAACAGAAAUGAUGGAUACCAGCCUGAGAUUACAGAGAAUAGAACUAGUCGGGGAACGCUGAAUGGGUUUGAGACAGACUCUGGAGCCUACAUUUACAACAAGAAACCACUGGCAAAAGGCAACUUGAGCAGCAGUGAAGGCAGUCAUGGGAGCCAAGGGAGGCAUGCUGGUCCCGGUUACCACCCAGACCUCCGGGGUUUGUCCACAUUUCAUACUUCAGAAGGGGGGUUUUAUGACAGACAUCUGUUAGCAUGGUCUUCGGGGCCCAAGACUGAUAAAGAUCUGGCCUACUGGAGAAGAAGAGGACAAGACUUUAGCGUAUUACUGGGUUACACUGACAAAGGAGACUCUGAAAUGAGAGGAUUGGCACCACCCCAUGAGGUGUACAGACAUGCUAAAGAAAGUCAGCUGGAGGUAGGAGCAGGAACAGAGAGUGUGACAAGAAGUGGCUUGCAGGAGACCUGGAAAGUGCCUGGUGAUUACAAAUGGCAAAGUUUAAGAACAGAAAGCUGGAAACAACCUAAAAAAUUAGGAAGACAAAUGUCUGAUGGUGAUAGAGAGAAACUGCUUCAAGAUCUGUACUCAUUGAGCCUGGGAGACAGUGUACUUAGCUCCCAUAACAAAGGGAAAUCACAAUCAUUGCCAAGAGUUCUUUCACCAGAGACCCUGAAGUGUGUGGAAAUACCCUCCCUGGUGAAUAAUCAUCAUUUCCUAAGUGGAACUAAAGCAUCCUCUGGUCCCCAAAACAGACAGCCUUUAGAAUUCACAAAACCCAGGGAAACAGGAAGCCACCUUCUUCCUCUGGCCAAGCCCAAGUAUGGCAGACCCCUUAAACCUCCUUCCUAUGAACUGCACCGACAGAUGAGGGCACCUGUAGAAACCAGUGGCUUUCAGGACCACCAGCAAAUAGAUGAGCCCGUUUCAUAUUUAGCCAAAGGUAAUGAGCCGAAGCAAGACGCUUACAUUCCAGACUCUGGUUUAGAGCCCCCUGUCUAUAUACCACCUCCAUCUUACAAGUCCCCACCUCAGCCAAGUGUGAAUCAGCAUUCCCUCAAUGAAGUGCCUAACUAUGACUUGUGCUUUGACAAUGGUCAGCGGCAUUCAGUAGAGAGGACCCUCAGCAGCCAUCGACCCUCCACUAGCACAUUGGAAACUGGGGGUGAACACUGCAAAGAUGACCACCUUCCUCAUGAAAAACAAAGCCAUUCCAGGCACACUGAUGACUACCUGAAUUCCAUUCAGUAUAUUCCUUUUGAUGAUCCUCGAAUACGGCAUAUUAAAAUAGCACAUCCCGAGAGCCUCCAGAACAACACUAAACACACUGAAAAUACAUGUAGGACCAAUCCUACUGCUUUGCAGGAGAGAACUAUCGAACUACAAUACAAUAGUGCCUUUUUGGAUCCAUCAAACUUACUAAAUACUGUAAAGGGUGAGAGAACUCCUGACAGCACCACGCAUUGCAACAGGUGGUUGGCAGCAUCCAACGGACAUCAGGAAAACUGGGCCCUGCCUGACCAAAGAGACAGUGGUGACACAGAUAAUCACCCCCCUGAAAAUGAAACUAAUCAGGAGUACACAAAGGGCAACCUUUCUGUAAGAAACCCACAUAUGGAUAGCACCUGUGAGACUGUUACUAGAGUAAAAAAGUUUGAACCUGGAACUGGGAUGCAGAGCAAAAAGAGUUCAAAGAAAAAAAUGAAUGAAACUAUAUUUUGUUUGGUGUCCAUCCCAGUUAAAUCUGAAUCAGGUCUGCCAGAUACUGAUAGGAACAAUAACUUAACACAGAGCCCUGAUAAGAAGAAUGAAUUUGAUAACAGUGGAGCUUUGCAAGAACAAAGUCUUUUAAGUAUGUCUUCCACCGACUUGGAGUUACAAGCUCUCACAGGAAGCAUGACCAAUAAAACUGAGUUACAAAAACAAGAGCUAUGGAAACCAGAGGAGUUCAAACAAAUGAAUGACCUCAGAUUUACUCAGCCUACAAAACACAGGGAACUCAAAUACUCUGGCUCUUGGCCAGGUGAUCAGUACAAAGACCAGCAAACACAGACCUGUUUCACUGAAGACCCUAAAAGCUCACAAUUUUUCCAUGGUAUAAAACCUGGUGAACCAAAUAAUAAACUGAUGGCUCCAAAAUUCUUAGCCUGUACAGCAUCUUUGGUUGGGUCAGAAGAGGCAGGUUUAUCCCCCGAUGACAGAAAAUGUAGGCAGAAUACAUACAAUAUGAAAGGUCAGAUGAACCUCAAUCCAUCCAGCAAUAGUGCAUUUUCAAGGACUGCCACCUCCGUAAUUCAGGUACAUUCACCAAAGGCAUACCAGAGCCAGCCUUAUGGGUCCUGCACAGCCAUGCCCACCCAGGAAAGGGAAACUGGCACAAUUCCCAGGGGUGAUGUGGUCAAGGGUGAAGCAAGUGCUCCCUGCAAGAGUAAAGAACUAUUUGGUCAGUUUCUUUUGAAACCUGUUGGUCGCCGUCCCUGGGAUGCAAUAAGUGAGUUAGAAAGUUUUAACAAAGAGCUCCAAGAACAGGAAGAAAGCACUAGUAGUGAAGAUGGCAUGGAGAGUGUGGGAGCAAAGCAGGGCUGUGUUCCUACAAAGAUAGGGACCUCCAGAACUGAUGAAUCAACCCAGGAACUCAGGCCUUGUAAGCAGCUAAAAACUGUGGUACCAGAAGUUCCUAUAUUUAAACAAGGAAGAGUUAAAAGUAAGUCUGAAAGUUGGAGUACAGAGCUUAAGUCUGAUGAUCCACAUAUCUGUGUUGGAUCACAAAGCUCCUUGAAUGCAAAAGAGCGCGGUAGUUUAAUCAAGCCAGCAGAUGGAAGUGUGAUAACAGAAACAAGAAACCAGGAAGCCAAGAACAGAACAAACAAACAGCGAGCAAGUUCAGGCCCAGUCAAUAGAGUUUUGUCCAGUAGUCCAAGUAAUGCAAAUCAGAGUAAUCCAUUCAGUCAUGCAGACUUAAAGGAGACAAAAGAAGAUAGAAAUUACAUAGCUAAUAUGUUAGAUUUUGUAAAACAGAACAAAAGCGCAACUCCCAGGAGUGAUACACUUUUAGAGAGAGGAUCUAUAGUAAGAUUGUCUUUAACUAAUAGAAAUCAAGGUCAUUCUGAGCCAGAUUUGAGGUCUGUGGGACUGGAUAUUGACCCUGAACCAGGUGCUAACAACUCUGAUUUUUCUUCUAAUGCAAAUGCAAUGGGGAUCCCCCAAAAUGAGUCCCUGCAGGCAAGAGCUGCAAGGAUUCUGGGUAUAGAGGUAGCAGUGGAGUCUCUAAUUCCUGGGGACAGAACUGGCCUCCACCAAUACACCAGCCCUGCAAAUAGUGUCCAGGAUCCUGAAUUACCAGUAGGGGGAACAGUACGUGACAAAGUAGAAACAAAAGACAGCUCUUAUGAGGGCAGACGAAAGUGUGGCUGGACAGAAAGUUCUCUCUUUGUGGGCGAGAGAGACUUCCCAUUUUGGGCUGGUGAAUACCAGAGCACUGACCUAGAAGCCAGCUCUAAAACUCUGGUAACUGAGCGAGGUUUUGAACAGCAUGCGGGUCUCAACAGGCAAGAUGAGGAUCCAGACCUGCCUUGCAAGUCUGUUACGCAUCAAAUUGCUGAAAGAAACGUGAUCAUUCCAAGCUCGGAAAAGAGAGUUAGAAGCACCUCAAAGGUGAUUGAGACCUUACAAGGCAAACUUGCCUCUCCCCCUAGCCGAACAGUCAUGGAUCGUUUGGUGAGAAUGAAAGAGGUUGACUCAGUUUCCCGUAUGCGACGUCUGAGUAUCAAGAGUGCAGAUUCAGGGGAGGAAGUAGAUGAGGAGAAACCACCAAGGGUACAAGAGGAGAGAGGAAGCUAUGCGCCACUCAGCGGUAAUGAACUCUCUCGCAAAAUGGUGCACACAGGUGCUGUUUCCAAGCGCAUUAUCUCUCUCGAUGAAAAUGGACAUAUAACUACAAUAGGCAAGAAGAAGGCUGACCGAGAUUUUUGUUUAGCCUCUGUCCGCACAAAAUAACUCUGAAAACCAUGGCCUGGAGUUUUGCACGCUGGCGGAAGUCAGCCGGGCCACAGUGAUGUAACACAGCCUCUCUUUGCAGUACCAGCGUUUAAAGCAAAUAAAUUAUUCUGCCGAGUACAGGAGACAUUGAGUGCUUAAAAAUGAAGACCGAACUGUAUCCCCACCUUGUAAAAUGGUCAUCUGGGUGUGGGUGGAGACACGUUGCCGGGAGGUGUACACUGCCCCUACUUUGCUCUGCAGUAUUAAGAUAUGUACGAUCCCUCCAGGGUUGAAAGGGUGUGAGCUGAACACAGAUGAGAAUCUAGAGAUGUCUGCUCUCCUAAGAAUGUUUUGCUGAUUUUGCUCUGUGUUUUAACACUUGGAAAUUGCCUCCAUUUGUGGUGUUUUAUGAUAUUCUGAUAAAGCCUUUACCACUGCCAGUAGGAAAUUAGUUAUUCACACAUAUCUGCUUUGCGGAGAUCACAGAAAACUCUGACUCUUACUUGGAUACCAUCUGUUUUUUGUAGCAUUAAGACUUAAUGCCUAUACUUGGCAAAGAGGUUUUAUCUAAACGAUGUUUAACAGUCUUCAGCUGGGAUGGUAAAUUCAAUGAGACUAGGCUUUGGAGCUUAUUCUUCUGUGUACAUUUAAACACAGGAGAUUAGUCAAAUGAUUUUAAAGGAAUGUGAAUUUAUAAGCUAAACUUCUGAAUCUCUAAAGCCCAAACUCUGCAUAAGUUGAGGAAUCUUUGGCCAUAAGACAUGAGUCAUGAGUGCUGCCUGUGUGUGUGUGUGUGUGUGUGUGUGUGUGUGUGUGUGUGUGUGUGGAGGGGGGUGGAGGGAUGCUUUGGAAUGAAUGCAAGACAAGGCGAAUGAAUAUUGAUUUAUUGUGAAAUCAGUUUGGACUUCCACAGUUUGAAUUCAUUUUGAUUAAAUACUUAUUUGCCACAUGUAGAGAAAAUAAAAGCAAACUCCCCAAAGCUCCUAAAAGAUCAAGACUUUUGUAAUAGAGUGUACAGAACAUGUAAUUACAGUAGCUGGCAACUAAAUGUUUUGAACCAAUGCAAACAAUACCACUGGCUGUUUUGCACUCAGUAUUAUCUAUUUGUGUUUUGCUGUUUAGAAAUUCUUUAUAUGACACAAUAAUUGCUGGUUUAAAAUAGCCCAUUUUAACAAAGUUAACUAUAUUUCUUGUUACAGAAUACUGUCUAUUUUUCUACGAUGUAAACAAUUGUUAAGUGGCCAGUAUAAAGAAGUAUUAUUAUUAUUAUUAUUAUUAUAUUUUAAGAAGAAUAAUUCUUUUGACUGAAGACAGACCAAGGAGGAGUCACUUAUGUAUCUUAAUGCACGUUCCAUAUGGCCUCAUAUCCAGUACUGCCACUUUCUUUUGUUGUGAAAAGAACAAUCAGUGUAUAUGUAUGUGUGUGGAGUACAGGGUUAAUUUCUACAAUUUUCCACUCAACUGUUGGAUUGUUCUUUUUGGAGCAACUCUUUAGAGAAAACAGCUGAGAACCAUCCGUGCUGGUAUUGCUGCCAUAACAUUCCACUGACUGUAAUUACCAAAAAGUGGGUUUGGAGCCCCGUCUCGGUGUCUGUGAGCAGCUCUGAUAAAGUACCUGGGUUUGUUUGUUAAACGUUUUUAUGCGGUUUGGUUUUGAAUUAGGCUAGUGUAUGAAAAUAAAUAAAUCUGGGUCAAAUUCAUCCUUGGAGCCAAUGGGCAUCACGAAGGGGGUGGAUAGAUUUGGACUGCUUCUUUGUGACAUUCAAAUAUAUGGCUUUUUAAACAAAAAUUAAAGAGUAUAUAAAAAGGCCUGUACAUUCUGCUGUAUUUAAUACUGAAUUAACCUGCACAAUGUUUAUGUGUUUUUAAAGCCUUUAUGUCCACUUCUGUGGUUUUUUUUAAAGUGUUGUUGUUUGCUGACAUUCUUUUGACAAUUUAUCCAUGAAUUUCAAGGGCUUCGUUACUAGCCAUUCUUGUUUUGUAGAACCACCUUAUCUUUUAAACAUUUCAAAUUCCUGAAACAUAAAUUUUUGGGUGGUCUGUGAGUUGGCAAAAACAGACCAAAGACACAUACUAGGCUUUGGCAGCAAGAAUUUCUUAUCUGUAACACAUGAUUCGGUUACACAGGAACUUCAUGGAAUUUUUAAAAGUUUGUUACAUAUUCAAAGAAAAUGUGAUUGUAUAAUUUAUUGAACUGAAUCUUGCAGACUUUCUCCAGCUCUGCGUGUGAACAAUCUGUAUCCAUAAGGCUUACCCAUCGCCAUGCUCCUUUCUAAAUCUGGUCAUGUUAUUGCCACUGCCAGUGCAAUGACUCCACCUUCAGGAAGGAGGUGAGAGCCCCAAGUCCCCAGACACUUUUCUUCUGUCAGGGGAAGAAGAGUAAGUAGUGAGCUCCCGCAGCUCCUUUCCAGGCUUCUCUGUAUUGUUCAGUCCCUUGCCAACCACAAACAAUGGGGAGUCACGCUGGUUCCUAGCCUAUGCAGUGGGCAGACCCUCUAUUUCCACAUGUUGUUCUGUGGAAGCCAAUGGGAUUGUCUGCAGGCCUAAGCACUCACUCGCACAGAUCCAUCCUUCUGCAGGACUGGGGUUAAUUUGUGGUUUACAUUUUCCUUUAAAGAAUCACUACUUUUCUAGCGCAGGUUCCAGACCUUGCCGCGGGGGAGGCGUUAGGGACAGGAGAGUGUGGCCUUGAUUUAGGAAAGUAUGUGCUUAGGUCCCCUUGAAGUAAUUGAAGUCUGUUAAUGGCCAAAGAAAUUUGGCAAUUGAAAUGCCUAGCCAUGUAUUGGCUCACCCAGCCAUUAAAUUAACUCGCAACAACCUUUCUAGGAGUAACAAAUACAUAAUUUAGCCUUCACAAGCUCAGGUCAUUCAAAGCAAAGAUCAAGGUAGAUUGUACCAGCGGGGUAGUCUGUGAGUCAGACACCCAUAUCCUAUACAGGGCCACCAAGCUCCCUCAAUUUAGAUCCAGUGGGGAGACUUCCAAGUAGUGCAGAGUCAUUAGAGGUAAGUACAGUGCUUCAUACAUUACAGCACCCAACCAACCUUGAAAAAAAAGUGAUUGUUUAAAAUUUACAAGUAAUACAAAUAAUGUGUCAAGUUUGUGCCUAUCUGAAAACCUCUAGUCCGGCAGGCUUGUUUAUAUAGAAAUAUCUGAAUUUAGUAAAAAGGCUUUUGCUUCUUCAAUGUGAUAAGUUGACGGUAAUAUAUAUGGUCAGUGUUCCGCUGCCUUGGAAGCACAUGCAACCUGCUGACUGAGGGGUUUCUAGUGCUGGCACUUAUGCUGGGAAUAGAAAUUUAACUUUUGCUACCCUUCGCUUUCAUUAGGAGUAGGACUGAACUCCUCCAUACCAGGUGUAGGGGGAGGGGAGAAAGAGAGUGAGUGUGGAGGGCAGGAAGAAGGUAAAGUUAUUUUGCAUUACUAAUUGUGAAUAGCAGAAGAUCCUUCAACUGUACGCUGGCGGCUGCAGCUCAGAUCUCCCAGGUUAAGCUGGUAUAACUGGAAACAGACUCUUUCCUUGAUGGGACCCAUUAGACCAAAGAGGCAAGUGGAGGCAUGAGCUAAACUGCAGCAUAAGCUGUGUUAAAUGGAAUGGAGAGAAUUGGUAAAUUGUCUGUGGAUCAUGGUCCAUAAACUGAUUGUUUCUGCAACAGUUGGUUUCUUCUAGGUUGGGCUCAACUGCUCUCCAUAAUUUGGUUAUAUAGACACCAGGGUCAUGAUAUAGCAGCCCUUAUUAAUUGGCAUACACUUUACUCACAUGAGGAGCCCCACUGAUUUAAUUGGGAUUACUCCAAAGGGUGCGAGUUUACAGGCUCAUGCCUGCAAACCCACAGACAAUGGCUACAUUGCUGAAGCCAUUAGAACACUGUUAGGGAGGUUGAAAUGCUAAACAUUAUUUGCAAUUUAAUUCUCUUAUUUCCAACUCACAUGAAAAUAUUCACCAGAAGCCUCAGUGUGGGAGUAAAUCAAAGCUGUUUAUCCUAAUCACUAUUUAAAAUAAAUUGUUUGAAACAUAGAAAAAGAUGAAUCCUGAUGUCCCUAUUAAAACCAAAAUCCACAAUGCUCACUACCACCCAUGCUGCCAACUGUUUGCACACGCCUCCCAGUGCUACAGUGCAGGGAGGGGGGGGAAAGAACACAAAGUCUGAAGUGACCAACACAGAGCAGAGAGAAGAAAUAAAAAAAUGAAAUUUCCCAUCCAGGGGAAACCACAGGAACAUAAAGAUUAUAUAAUAAAUGAGGAACAUUCCACCCUAGACAGUAGAAAGCCUAGCUGUCCAACUCUCGACUGGUUGAAAAAAUAACCAGAAACAUCCCACAAGUAAUUCCUAAACUGGGCAGAAAACAAGAAGAUGUAAAAUAUAGACAAUAUGCAUCAGUGUGCAUGUGUGGGUCUUUACGUAAAACGGGAAGUAUUUCUAGAGAGAGCUUCAACAUGUGGGUCAUCUCCGUUGCCAACAAUAAGUCAUUGCCAUUGCUCUAGAUAGGCCAAGAGGGGAUUCAGAAGGAUAAAGGGAGGAAACAGGGGUAAGCAACUACAAAAAUAUUUGUAUAAUAUCACAGGAUGAAUGUCUUUAAGGACUUCUUUGUAUUUUUCUGCACAAUGUAAACACUAUGUUUCCAUGCUACCAUGUAAGUCAGGUGGCGCUGUUGGUCAAUAGACAUUCUCUAAAUAAAGGUUUUGCAUGAA